rnacentral:rRNA from 1 species
GACGAACGCUGGCGGCGUGCCUAAUACAUGCAAGUCGAACGCAGUGGGGACGGGUGAGUAACACGUGGGUAACCUCCCAUCAGAGGGGAUAACACUUGGAAACAGGUGCUAAACCGAUACUGAUGGAUGGACCUGCGGUGCAUUAGCCAGUUGGUGGGGUAACGGCUCACCAAGGCCACGAUGCAUAGCGGGUCUGAGAGGGUGAUCGGCCACACUGGGACUGAGACACGGCCCAGACUCCUACGGGAGGCAGCAGUGGGGAAUUUUCGACAAUGGGCGAAAGUCUGACCGAGCAACGCCGCGUGUGUGAAGAAGGUUUUCGGGUUGUAAAACUCUGUUGUUAGAGAAGCGGUAUCUAAACAAAAAGCCACGGCUAACUACGUGCCAGCAGCCGCGGUAAUUC